rnacentral:rRNA from 1 species
AGCGCGGUGUGGUCCCACCUGACCCCAUGCCGAACUCAGAAGUGAAACGCCGUAGCGCCGAUGGUAGUGUGGGGUCUCCCCAUGCGAGAGUAGGGAACUGCCAGGC